GAAAGACCAAUCAAGAAGCAGCUAUAUCCUUGCUCUGACUUUGACCUUUCUCAGAGAAGAAUGUGGUUUUGCUAAAAUAAGAAAAGAAUCUAUUGAGGUCAUGCUAUACUUGAUUUUUAUCUUUUAAAAUUUGGCAGAAAUUCUGACCUAAACCUACUGGCUGUGCUGACAAUCCCAUCGAAGAAUUUAUUUAAACUGGUGCCACUGUCACUGGUGCAGAAUCUUGUCUUAGGAAACUUGACAGUUUUGGGAAACCACAGUUUAGAGAUGUAUAAUUUGAUUCUCUAUGGGACAAUUUAAAUCAGAAUUUUUGAAGGGAAAAAUUCUAAUAUAGAGACUCAUUAAGGGAAAAAUUUGCUGAAAACUUCCGUUAGGGGAUAAUUGCUAUGUGGCAUAAGAGAUUUUCCCCUCUUUGGUCAAUUCUUAUAAUAAUUCUUUUUUAUAGAACAAAGCCCUCUGAACUUCAUAUUUGGGGAAGGAAAGGAAGGAAGAAAGAUCUUAAAAUUCUGGGGGAAAUAAAAAAAUGGCUACUCAGUUACCUUUUAGGGGCUCAUCCCAGACAAAAGUAUAAGCAAGUUUCCUCUCCUGCUAUCGUAACUCCCAGUACUCCUGUUUUGUUUUGGGGGUACUGUUUUUACCCCAGUACCCACCUGUUUUGUAUUGCUUCAAACUCUUGUUCUGAGCCAGAUGUUUUUUUAUAAACAAAUUCUCAUUAAGAUGACUUACCUUUCCGAGGAAUACUCACAUUUCAAAAAGAUUUAUAAAUACCAAAAGGCACAUAACUCUGUGCCUUUAGACACUGUGCUUUAGAGCUUAGAAGAGGCUGGUGGGGAACAUAGUAGGGAACCAUAUCAGAAUUCCUGAUUAUAGUACACAGGUUGGUCACACAUGUCUCCUGCAGAAGGUUAGUGUCAGUUCACCAAAAUGCCAAAGAAAAAGAAUCUUGAUUAUUUCUACAUUCAAAUAAAGAAGGAAUAGUUUAAAACUGAUAGCAUAUACAUUUUAUUUUUAAAUUUUAUUUAUUUCUUUGAGAGAGAGAGAACACAAACAGGAGGAGGGGCAGAGGAAGAAGCAGACUCCCCACUGAGCAGGAAGCCUGAUUCAGGACUUGAUCCCAAGACCCUGGAAUCUUGGGAGAAGAUCAGAUGGCAGAUGCCCAACCAACUGAGCCCAGUCACCCUAUUUUUAUUGUUUGAAGCAAAAAAAUCAAGCCAUGGCUCCAAGUCCUAUAUCAACCAUUUCAUUUAACACAUUCAAAAUAUUUUAACUGUUAGGCAAAGGAGAUUCACAAAAUAUUCAUAGAAAAAUAAUAAAUGAAGGCAUCUACCAUGCCUAAUACAUACCUCAGUAUGAGAAAUAAUUAAUCCUUCCAAUUAUAAAUUUUCUUUUUCUGUUACUUGUCAGCUCACUGGGUUUUCCUGGAUUAGGAACAAUGAAAACUCAUACCGACUAUAACAGAUUGUUAGAUUUUCAUUCUCCUGAUUUAAAAAAAGUUGGGCAUCUUAAAGAAAUUCAUAAAUUAUACCGUAUAAAAAUGUAUAAAUGAAGAACAUUGAGAUAAAUGGAAAUGAAGGUAAGAAAAUAAAGUCAUGUGAUUAAUACACAAAAGCCAUGCCAUGAGGAUCCUUCCUGUAAAUAGAGGUGGGCUAUAUUUUUGGUUUUGA
rnacentral:lncRNA from 1 species